rnacentral:rRNA from 1 species
UGCGUAGGUGGCUGCGUAAGUAACGUGUGAAAGCCCUCGGCUUACCCGGGAAUUGCGCGUUAUACUGCGUGGCUUGAGGAUCUCAGGGGAAGGGGGAACUCCAGGUGUAGCGGUGAAAUGCGCAGAUAUCUGGGGGAAGGCCGGUGGCGAAGGCGCCCUUCUGGGAGAUUCCUGACACUGAGGCACGAAAGCGUGGGGAGCAAACAGGAUUAGAUACCCUGGUAGUCCACGCCCUAAACGAUGGAUACUAAGUAGGGGACCCUGCAAGGGGUUCCUUGCCGGAGCAAAAGCGUUAAGUAUCCCGCCUGGGGAGUAUGGUCGCAAGGCUGAA